UGGAAGUAAAAUAAAUCGAUCAACAGACUCAAGAGUGGAAACAAAGACAUAAUUUACAUCUCUUGCACCUAUGAUGUUAUAGAUCACCACGUUAUAAAACUGUUCUAUCUUUUGGAUAUAUUGGACAGUCGAUCAUAUAUCUGAACUUCUAUAUUACACUUGGAACUUGACAUCCAGGAGGGCCGAUUCAGGAAAGAAGUAUUUUUUUAAUGAUGGACUUGCCAACAUGACUAAUGGAUGAUAUGCCUAUAGCCUGUAUCUGGGAAAGUAUUCCUGAUGAUAUUAUACUCCACAUAUUUUCUUUCCUCCCAGCAGCAUCAUUGCUACAGGCUGCUCAAGUGUGCAGAUGCUGGUACAGAGUAAGCAGAGAUGAACUGCUGUGGAAGGAUGUAUUUUACAGGCAUUGGAAAAUUGAUAAAAAUAUACCAAUGGCACCUGGAAUGUCAUCUUGGUUACAGGAAUAUAAACGUCUUCAUUACCACACCCCUGCUGUAGAGAGUGAAGUGAUCAGACAACAUACAGAUCAAGUUUUACAUGUCAGCUUCUCACACAAUGGAAAGAUGUUUGCUACUAGUUCAAAAGACGGGUUUAUUAAGGUUUGGAAUACAACAUAUCCUAUAUCCCUAAAGUAUAAGGAGAAUAUGAAACGUUUUACUUGGAAGUAUACACAGUUCUCACAGUUCAAUGAGAGUGAUACACUUCUGCUAGUUUCUGGGGUUCAUUUUGGUUCCAACAGCACAUCAGGAGAAAUAGCUGUGUUUUCACUACAGGGUAAUUUUGAACUACAAGCUCGUGUUAUCAACAAACCAUAUGAUGUAUUUGGUACUUGGUAUAAUGAUAGUCAUUUAGUAUCUGGAAGCCUUCAUUGGACAGGACAAUUACAGUCUUGUUCUGUUUUAUGGCUUAAUAAGGCUUUUCAAGACACAGAAAAUGAACAUGAAUCAGUGGUGAUGAGAUUAUAUAAACUGAAAAAUAUUAAUGCUAGUUCAGUUCGGACUGUUAUGGUUGCUAGCUGUCGAGAGGUCAUGGAAACAGAUGACAAAGAAGAGACUGGAAAAGGGAGCAAACGUGUACAGGAUAAAACUGAAAGAGACAAUAAUGAGAGCUCUUCCAAAAUUGCUAAGAAAAAUAAAGAGAAAUUUCUAGGAACUAUUGAGUAUAAACAAGAAUAUCGUGAUGCUGAGAAAAGUCAUAAGAAAUUUCCUCAAAAGUCUGAAAACAGUAAAAUGUCAAAUCAGUGUAGUAGUAAUCACAGUUCUUUUUCAGAAGAUGAUUUGAUUAGACAGCUAAGUGACAAUGAAAUGCCUAAUUUGAAUAAUCAAAAUCCGAUAAGAGGCACUGAGGAUAAAGAUAUCUCUAUGCCGGAUGUAGAUAAACUAGUUGAAAAAACAACUAAAUGUGUCUCUUUGUCUUCAGAAACAAUAGAUACUUCCAUUAGUGGUAAUUCAGUUAAUCCUACCAAUGGUUCGAUCCUUGAUACAUCUAACAGAAACAACUCCGCUCAGAAUUCCAGUUCUAGUCAGUGUGCCUGUGGGAGUUCAUGUUCCUGCCAUGGUGGCAUGUACUUAGAUGGAGCCACAUUUGGUUCACCUAUCCAGUCACAUUUCUUUAGGAGUAAUGACCACAGGGUGGCAUUGGAUGAUUGGAAUCCUACGUCUUCUCUUCAUAUGGGAGAUACAAGCAUAACUUACCCAAACUUUAUAACUGCUGACUCUUCUAGUCCACAGAAAGGGAACAUUUUAGAUAAAUUCUUAAUAUUUACACAGGGUUCUAAGACAUACACACCACAUCAGAUUGGAAUUAAGAGAAUUAAGCCAUUGGAAAAGAUAUUGGGAGAUGAAAGACCACUUUUACCAGAUAUUGAAUUCAAUUCUCCUGCAUUGGAAUCUAUAGCAUAUGAUAAACUUGAUAAAGUUAUAGACAUGCAUGGUCAUAUCAUAGGAUUAGCCUUAUCUCCUGAUCAUAGGUACCUGUAUGUGAACUGUCGACCUUGGCCAAAGGAUUAUGACAUACAAAAUCCAUUAGCUCCACCACCUAUUGCUCAGGAGAUUGAUAUCCAUGUGAUAGACUUACUGAGAUUGACAGAAGUUGGUACAAUGUAUAGAGCACACAAAGCUUACACUCCUAAUGAUGAAUGUUUCUUCAUUUUCCUGGAUGUUAGUCAGCAGUAUGUUGCCAGUGGAGCUGAAGAUAAACAUGGAUAUAUAUGGGAUCGCCAUUAUGGAGUUUGUCUUAGUAAGUUUCGUCAUGAAGACGUAGUAAACUGUGUAGCAUUCAGUCCGAGCGACUCAGAAAUUUUAGUUACUGUUAGUGAUGACUGCACUAUUAAGAUAUGGCGUUCACUGAAUCGUGAAAAACAUAUGAAAUUCACUGGUUUGUUUAAUCCUGGACUAUAUAUGUGAUAUUUGUCAUAAUAUAAUACUAUAGAAAUACAGAUGAACCUAUAUCAUAUAUUAAGAAAACAUGGUGCUUAAUAUUUGUGAUAUUUUGCUAUGAUUUAGAUUAUUUAAAUGUACAAAAACCAAAGAUCUUGUAUGUUGAUAUAUGACUUGCUUGUAUAACAAUGUAAAUAUGAUAAAGCUGUACAUAUAUGUCAAGUAUAUAAUUUCUGUUUCUUCCAGGUAAGGGUUUUCUAGAAAUGAAUGUAAUUGGGAGUGAGGAAUUGUCAGGAGGCACAAUGUGUUUACCCUACCGUACAAAGAAAUUUUCAUUGAUUAGUUUAUUAUCUUUUUAUACCUUUUUAUACGACCGCAAAAAAGUUUUGUGGUCGUAUAUUGGUAUGACGUUGGUGUCGUCGGCGACGUCCGAAGACACAUUGGUUUUCGCACUCUAACUUUAGUUUAAGUGAAUGGAUCUCUAUGAAAUUUUACCAUAAGGUUCAAUACCACAAAAGGAAGGUUGGGAUUGAUUUUGGGGGUUAUGGUACCAACAGUAAAGGAAUUAGGGGCCAAAAAUAAGCAUUUUUGUAACUUCCAGACAUAACUUGUGUGUUAGGGUAUGGAUCUCUCUGACAUUGUACCACAAGGUUCCAUAUCACAAAGGGAAUGCUGGGAUUGAUUUUGGGGGUAAUUGCCUCCAAAUUUAAGGAAUUAGGGGCCAAAAAGGGGCAAAAAACAAGCAGUUUUCUAGUUUCAUGACAAUAACUUGUGUGUAAGUGUAUGGAUCUUUAUGAAAUUGUAAUACAAGGUUCCAUAUCACAAAGGGAAAGCUGGAAUUGAGUUUGGGGGUAAUUGCCCAAAAUGUUUAGGAAUUUGGGGCCAAAAAGGGGCCAAAAAUAAGCAUUUUUCUAGUUUCCAGACAAUAACUUGUGUUGAAGUGUAUGGAUCUCUCUGAAAUUGUACUGCAAGGUACCAUACCACAAAGGGAAGGCUGGGAUUGAUUUUGGGGGUAAUUGCCUUAAAAUUGUAGGAAUUAGGGGCCAUAAAGGGGCCAAAAAUAAGCAUUUUCUAGUUUCCAGACAAUAACUGUGGAACAGUGUAUGGAUCUCUCUGAAAUUAUACUACAAGUUUCCAUACCACAAAGGGAUGGUUAGGAUUUGCUUUGGGGGUUAUGGCUCAAACCGUUUAGGAAUUAGGGGCAAAAAAGAGGGAAAAACAAGGUUGUCCUGGUUAAUGGACAAAUACUUUAGUACAAAACAUAAUUUAAAGCAGUGUAAGGGAGAUAAAUCAAAUACAUCAUUGAAAUUAUCUCCCUUACACUGCUUUUAAAUUAUGUAUAAAGUAAUGGUUAAUGAACAAUAAAGAUAAUUUAAAACAGUGUAAGGGAGGUAAUCCAAAUACAACGUUUUGGUUACUUCCCUUACACUGCUUUUAAAUUAUGUUUAAAGAAAUGCAUAUUUAUAAAGGAAGACCAGUAAAAAUAUCUGCAAAUGUUGCAUCUUUUUUUUUUACAAAAAAAUCCAUAUGAAAGAUUUGACACUAUUUUUAAUUCUAUUAUAAAAUAGAUUAAGUUAGCACUAUGGUAAAUUAAAAUGGGUAAUUAUGGUUGCCAACUCCAUUGGAAAUUUGAAUUGAGAUUAUGACCAUAUCUUGAGGGAAAGAAUUUUUUGGGGGAAAAAAGGGGGGGGGGGAUAAAAAGAAAUUGUGGGGGGUCAAUUUUUUCUCAUUUCAGAUUUCAGAAAUUAAAAAGAAUUAUUCUUCAAAUAUUAUUUUUUUUUCAAAUUUCAAAUAUUGAAAAAUUUCAAGAAGUAAUCUUUAAUUGCACAGUAUGGCGCAUUAGAUUUGUAAAAUCUUUGAUCACAUUUAUUUAUUUGUUAUGCCGAAUCUAACAGUUUAUUUAGAUUUUUAAUUUUGGGUCCAGUUUUCAAAUUGGUCUACAUUAAGGUCCAAAGGGUCCAAAAUUAAACUUUGUUUGAUUUUAGCAAUAAUUGAAUAUAUGAGGUUCUUUCAUAUGCUGAAUCUAAACAUGUAUUUAGAUUUUUGAUUUUUUGGCCCAGUUUUCAAGUUGGUCCAAAUUGGGGUCCAAAAUUAAACUUUGUUUGAUUUCAACAAAAAUUGAAUAUAUGGGGUUCUUUGAUAUGCUGAAUCUAACCAUGUAUUUAGAUUUUUUAUUUGUGGACCCCGUUAUCAAAUUGGUUCAUAUUGAGGUCAAAAGGGUCCAAAAUUAAACUUUGUCUGAUUUCAUCAAAAAUUGAUUUAUUGGGGUUCUUUGAUAUUCCAAAUCUAACCAUGUAUUUAGAUUUUUAAUUUUGGGUCCUGUUUUUUAAAUUGGUCUACAUUAAGGUCCAAAGGGUCCAAAAUUAAACUUAGUUUGAUUUUAACAAAAAUUGAAUUCUUGGGGUUCUUUGAUAUGCUGAAUCUAAACAUGUGUUUAGAUUUUUGAUUAUGGGCCCAGUUUUCAAGUUUGUCCAAGUUGGGGUCCAAAAUUAAACUUUGUUUGAUUUCAACAAAAAUUGAAUAUAUGGGGUUCUUUGAUAUGCUGAAUCUAAACAUGUAUUUAGAUUUUUGAUUAUGGGCCCAGUUUUCAAGUUGGUCCAAAUUGGGGUCCAAAAUUAAACUUUGUUUGAUUUCAACAAAAAUUGAAUAUAUGAGGUUCUUUGAUAUGCUGAAUCUAACCAUGUAUUUAGAUUUUUUAUUUGUGGGCCCCGCUAUCAAAUUGGUUCAUAUUGAGGUCAAAAGGGUCCAAAAUUAAACUUUGUUUGAUUUCAUCAAAAAUUGAAUUAUUGGGGUUCUUUGAUAUGCCAAAUCUAACCGUGUUUUUAGAUUUUUAAUUUGGGUCCCGUUUUUUAAAUUGGUCUUCAUUGAGGUCCAAAGGGUCCAAAAUUAAACUUAGUUUGAUUUUAACAAAAAUUGAAUUCUUGGGGUUCUUUGAUAUGCUGAAUCUAAACAUGUGUUUAGAUUUUUGAUUAUGGGCCCAGUUUUCAAGUUUGUCCAAGUUGGGGUCCAAAAUUAAACUUUUUUUGAUUUCAACAAAAAUUGAAUAUAUGGGGUUCUUUGAUAUGCUGAAUCUAACCAUGAAUUUAGAUUUUUUAUUUGUGGGCCCCGCUAUCAAAUUGGUUCAUAUUGAGGUCAAAAGGGUCCAAAAUUAAACUUUGUUUGAUUUCAUCAAAAAUUGAAUUAUUGGGGUUCUUUGAUAUGCCAAAUCUAACCGUGUUUUUAGAUUUUUAAUUUGGGUCCCGUUUUUUAAAUUGGUCUUCAUUGAGGUCCAAAGGGUCCAAAAUUAAACUUAGUUUGAUUUUAACAAAAAUUGAAUUCUUGGGGUUCUUUGAUAUGCUGAAUCUAAACAUGUAUUUAGAUUUUUGAUUAUGGGCCCAGUUUUCAAGUUGGUCCAAGUUGGGGUCCAAAAUUAAACUUUUUUUGAUUUCAACAAAAAUUGAAUAUAUGGGGUUCUUUGAUAUGCUGAAUCUAACCAUGAAUUUAGAAUUUUUAUUUGUGGGCCCCGCUAUCAAAUUGGUUCAUAUUGAGGUCAAAAGGGUCCAAAAUUAAACUUUGUUUGAUUUCAUCAAAAAUUGAAUUAUUGGGGUUCUUUGAUAUUCCAAAUCUAACCGUGUAUUUAGAUUUUUAAUUUUAAGUCCCGUUUUUUAAAUUGGUCUACAUUAAGGUCCAAAGGGUCCAAAAUUAAACUUAGUUUGAUUUUAGCAAAAAUUGAAUUCUUGGGGUUCUUUGAUAUGCUGAAUCUAAACAUGUGUUUAGAUUUUUUAUUAUGGGCCCAGUUUUCAAGUUUGUCCAAGUUGGAGUCCAAAAUUAAACUUUGUUUGAUUUUAACAAAAAUUGAAUAUAUGGUGUUCUUUGAUAUGCUGAAUCUAACCAUGUAUUUUGAUUUUGGACAUUGGACCAUAAUAGGUAAAUUAAAAAAAUUCAAGUUCUUAGACCACAUUCUUUCUGUGUCAGAAACCUAUGCUGUGUCAAAUAUUUAAUAACAAUCCAAAUUCAGAGCUGUAUCAAGCUUGAAUGUUGUGUCCAUACUUGCCCCAACUGUUCAGGGUUCGACCUCUGCGGUCGUAUCAAGCUGCGCCCCAGCGAAGCAUUUUAUUGAUUAUGGGCCCAGUUUUCAAGUUUGUCCAAGUUGGGGUCCAAAAUUAAACUUUGUUUGAUUUUAACAAAAAUUGAAUAUAUGGGGUUCUUUGAUAUGCUGAAUCUAACCAUGUAUUUUGAUUUUGGACAUUGGACCAUAAUAGGUAAAUUAAAAAAAUUCAAGUUCUUAGACCAUAUUCUUUCU